rnacentral:tRNA from 1 species
GCGGACGUGGCGCAGUUGGUAGCGCAUCACCUUGCCAAGGUGGGGGUCGCGGGUUCAAGUCCCGCCGUCCGCUC